rnacentral:rRNA from 1 species
CACGUAGGGGGCGAGCGUUGUCCGGAUUUAUUGGGCGUAAAGAGCUCGUAGGCGGCUCAGUAAGUCGGGUGUGAAAACUCCAGGCUCAACCUGGAGACGCCACCUGAUACUGCUGUGGCUAGAGUCCGGUAGGGGAGCAUGGAAUUCCUGGUGUAGCGGUGAAAUGCGCAGAUAUCAGGAGGAACACCAGUGGCGAAGGCGGGUCGCUGGACAGUUCCUGACGCUGAGGCACGAAGGUCAGGGGAGCAAACGGG